rnacentral:ncRNA from 1 species
UGUCUUCAGGGCAGGGUGUAAUUCCCGACCGGCGGUGAUAGUCCGCUACUCCGUAAGGAUCGAACCGGUGAAAUUCCGAUACCGACAGUAAAGUCUGGAUGGAAGAAGAU